UUUACAUUUGUGGAGAUCACAGCAAUCGGUCGAUUCCUCCGGAUUAUUUAUCUAAAAAAUUAAUAAACAAAUCAUGUAUUUUCCAAAAUUAAUUAUACACGCUAAAAUAAUCUCUGCCUCUAAAAUUUGUUGUUUAAUUAGUUUGUAUGUAAUAUAAUGAUCCCACUGGUAUUGUAUAAGUUAAUGAUAGUGUAUUUAAAAAAAAAAAAAUUGAUUAAUACACGAUAAAAACAGAACAUAUUAUAUGUAAUAAUUAUGUAAAUAAAAUGAUUCUGUAAACUAUGUAGAAAAAUAUAUGAAAAUACUUUUUUUUUUUUUGCCUACUGCACUGACGCAAGGAAUUGUUAAUAAAUAAACAUUAGAGCAUCAGAAUACUAUACAAUUUUACUACAUAAAUAUACCAUGUAAAGAAAAAAUUCUUUUUAUACAAAUCACUGGGUCUAUAUUUAACUUCCUUGUUUACUAUUCCAUAUUACAUUACCAAGUACAAUUUAAUGAAAUGAAAUCAUGUCAAGUAGAGGAGUAUGCGAUACACGUUGUCAAACGUUUCUUACUGCAAUGAUACAGAAAGAAGAAUCAACGCGAAUCAGAUGGUUUCUGAAGAAUCAAGAAAAACUAUUAAGCCGUUUAGGAAAGGAAGUUACAUCACCGCCUACGCGUGAACCAGACAAGAAACAAAGCGUGGAUAUUAUACGUUUAAAACCCUUGCCCAACUGGAGACCAAUGGAACCUGACGGUUCUAUCAACAUGGAUAUAAUGAAACCAAUUGACCCCGAAGUAAGAGCCAUUCUAUACGAAGGCGCUCCAAGUUUUAUCACCGCUGAAAAUUAUACUCGUAAAAGAUUAAAAGAUCAUCCUGAAGACCGUUUUUACUAUCCGGAUUGCACAAGUUGGGUACAUGGAUGGCGCCUUACAGAUUAUUCACCCGUUCCAGGGAGCAAAGUUGGAAAAAGAUCCGUUAUGAUGCGUCAAUUUUAUCAUCCGAAAAUAUCGAGUCUUAAUAAGGACCCAGAAUGGUAUCGUCCGUCCCAAAAAACGCCAAAUAAAUGUAACGGCGAUAUGAGCUAACGGAAAAUGCAUUUCUACUACAAAAUGUUUCAGACAAAUUUAUAAUGUAAUUAAUCGCUGCAACUCUAACGGCAAUAAAUAUUCUGCCUGACCCGGUACAGCAUGGAACACAAAGUCAAUGAAUUUCUGGAAGUAUUUGAUACAAUAUUCUUCAAGCGAAUGAUCAACUCGUAGAUAUCGUCGAUUUGCUUCUGUUUGUUUUACGAAUGAAACAAUACGUUUUUAUCAAUG